rnacentral:tRNA from 1 species
GUGGGUAUAGCUCAGUGGUAGCGCACGCGCUUGGCACGUAUGAGGUCCUGGGUUCAAGCCCCAGUCCCUCCA